GCAGUCGAACGGCAGCGCGGGGAGCUUGCUCCCUGGCGGCGAGUGGCGGACGGGUGAGUAACGCGUGGGAAUCUGCCUAGUAGUGGGGGACAACCCGGGGAAACUCGGGCUAAUACCGCAUACGCUCUACGGAGGAAAGCGGGGGAUCUUCGGACCUCGCGCUAUUGGAUGAGCCCGCGUCGGAUUAGCUUGUUGGUGAGGUAAAAGCUCACCAAGGCGACGAUCCGUAACUGGUCUGAGAGGACGAUCAGUCACACCGGAACUGAGACACGGUCCGGACUCCUACGGGAGGCAGCAGUGGGGAAUAUUGGACAAUGGGCGAAAGCCUGAUCCAGCAAUGCCGCGUGUGUGAAGAAGGCCUGCGGGUUGUAAAGCACUUUCAGCAGGGAAGAAAAGCAUGGGGCUAAUAUCCCCGUGUCUUGACGUUACCUGCAGAAGAAGCACCGGCUAACUCCGUGCCAGCAGCCGCGGUAAUACGGAGGGUGUGAGCGUUAAUCGGAAUUACUGGGCGUAAAGCGCGCGUAGGCGGCCUGGUCAGUCGGAUGUGAAAGCCCUGGGCUUAACCUGGGAACUGCAUUCGAUACUGCCGGGCUAGAGUAUGGGAGAGGGAAGUGGAAUUUCCGGUGUAGCGGUGAAAUGCGUAGAUAUCGGAAGGAACACCAGUGGCGAAGGCGACUUCCUGGCCCA
rnacentral:rRNA from 1 species